CAAGGAUGCAUUGGAUAACAGAACUUAUAUGCUUGUGGUGCUGCCCUUUAACUAUGGAUUGAACAUAUGAAAAGUCAACACUGCCUGAAUGUGCUGGAUGCAAGUCCAGAUAACCCAUCUACGGGCUCCAGGCCAUAGCUGAUGCAGAGGAAACCAAGGAAACUGAUAUUGGAUAUGUGAGGUGUUGUUGCGUCAAUGGCGUCCUGUGAUUAUUGAGGACAUCCUCGUGGAAGCGUUCCAGCAAUACAACCGGGAGUCAUCUACGCCACAAGAUUGUGAAACUUGGAGGGUAAGAUGGAAGAGCGGGAUGUGGACCAGCUUAUCCGAGAGAAGGAACCAGACUGAUGGACAACUUACCUAUUGGGGACUUGACCCAGCAGCUCUUCUUCCUCAAUCAAGCCCAGCAGGCUGGUCUAACAUUUUUCAAAACUCCACAGAAAUGUGAUGCCUGGAAAUUGGAUGCCUUCGGAGUAUGUGCAUAAGGCUCAGGACUACAUAUGCGGAUUGAGAUAUCUAGGAUAGCCACUGGGAGCUCCUUGGCCAUUUUCCAUCGAAAACAACCUCAGAUGUUAAUGGACGGUUUACAAGAUGUACUGGCAAACAUCAAGGUUAUUUUCGAUUGAAAAUGGCCGAGAAGUUCCAAAUGCAAUGAUAGCAGGAAAUACAAAGUUCCACCUGGAUCUGCACUGGCGCACUUCAGUCCAUACUGUAGUAGAUGGAAAAUCAAAUGCUGAGAUGAUACGAAGUGGCUGCGACUGUGACCAGCUCAUCAAGGAGUGGCCAUAACAUUCUCCAACUUGAAGCCGAUGCCUGAAAACCGGUCAAGCUCUUCCAUAGGAAACACUACCUACAACGGUUUAAACAGCUUGAAAACAAUAUCUCGAAGUAACACCAUUUUGUACUGAAGCAGAUGGACCCAGAUUUGUGCAGUGCAGAGAGAUUGCUAAAUCAGAUGCUUCAUUGCUGAAAAUUGGAGGAGUUGUCUUGCCUGAACUCCCAUGUGAAUCUGUACCAAGGGCAUGGAUCUUGAACAACAGUGAUAUUUACAUAAGAAGAUAAGAGAAUACUUCAGAAAUGACAUAAAUAAUAGACAAAGCUACCCAGACCAUCUCAGCCAAAGCAAUGAACACACUGUUACCUUUUCUUCUUACAAUUUGUUUUGAAACAUCUGUCAUACAACUGAUGUAUGGUAGGGUGAAAUAUGUUUUCAACUAUAAUACAUUCUCUAUUGAAGGUUGUCUAUUGAAACCAACAAUUGGCAUUCAUUGUAUUUUUCGCCUGUGAACUUUUUUACGAAAAUUCCCUUGAUAGCUUACUUUAAAGAUGCUCUCUUACUCCCAUAUAAGAUGUACCACAAUUUAUUUAAAUGAUUUUAUAUACCAUAAAGGACAAAAACAUGUCCAAAACAAUAGUUCUUAUGAAGGAUACAGUUAAAUUUUAAGGAAAUUAUGAGUGGCUGGUUGAUCACAAUCUUUUAGCACUCACCAGUUGUUUAAUAUUUUGGCUUUUUCAGCUAUUAAUCAAGGUUAUUAUCAUGUAACAAAUAUUAGUAAUUUUUUCCAUAAAUGCAGUAUCAAGUAGUUAAUCAAUUAAAGUUUACAUAUGUUAUUCAUGUGUAUGAAUUGAAUUUGAAGUGUCACUUUAAAGUAAUUAUGGCUCCUCCAUUUAUGUUUUUGCCCUGUCUGUCAGUCAGCCUGUACGUCACACUUCGUUUCCACUCGUUUCCACUCAAUAACUAAAGAACGCUUGCACCCAGGAACUUCAUACUAUUUAUGCUAGUUGGUCAUGACUAGCAGAUGACCACAAUUGAUUUUGAGAUCACUAGGUCAAAGGUCAAGGUCGCGGUAGAUAUUCACUAUUUAAUAUGGGUGAAUAAACCAAAGUUCACUGUUAGUUCGUCUCCAGCCCAAAAUUACAAAUUUCAUUUCCAUCAUUUAUUUUUCUCAGAUACGACCACACAAUAGGGGAGACAAGGACUUUUUCAAAAAAGCAAUCUCUAGUUUCUGUUUACUUUUAAUGUCGGCGUGAAUAAUCAAUUUGAAAUUCAAUGUUUUACCACAGUUAUAAGAAGGCUGAACUGAAAUGUCAAAACAAAACAUGUUAUAUAUGUGUGUGUAUUUUAGUUUUGUUAUGGUAACAUUUCAGUUUUUGUUUUUUUAUCAUAUUUAUUAUUUACUAUAAUUUUGUAUCUUAGUCAAAUAGAUAGUAACAAAAGAACACAGUUUAUCAUAUGCUUUCCUGUACUUGAUAGAGAUUUAUCAGUGAAAUAAAAUAACCAUCUUCAUCAUUUAAUUAAUUUGAUUUUGUAUAUUCAUCUUUAAAAUGGUUGAAAUUUGAGAACUGACUACUUGGGAACGGUGUUAAGGGUAUUGUUUUUUGUCUUUUUUUAGUUUGGUAAAAAAAAUAAAAUUAUAUUGUGUAUAAUGAGUAUAGCUACAAAAUGCAUAAAUACCAGAAUUAACCUGUUAAUUGUAUUACUAUUUCUCAAUCUUUGGAAUGUAUUUUUUUUUUUGACAACAAUGAUCCACUCUGGACAUAAUUGAACACAUGUCUAAACAUAACGUUCAUCACAAAUGUAAAGUUUUUGUGUGUUAUUGAAGCGUUUUAUGUCAAGUGAUGUAUGGUCAGUGGAGGGCAAAGGCGGGAAUAUGCAUGGGGUUUAACUGUAUUGGUCAUUUUCAUGCUAGACUUAUGUGGUUAACUUCAUUUUUUUUUAAAUUUGAGUUGUUUAAUGUUGGCACAUAGAUGCUUUAUGGAUUUAAUGUUAUAAUUAUUAUCGGAAAAUGUUAAAGUCAGUGGGAACAUUUAUAUAAACAUGUGAAUCAAUUGUUUAGUUCAUUGGGAACAUUUAUAUAAACAUGUGAAAGGUCACGAAAUUAAAGUAUUUAAAAAAAAUACUGAUGAAUAAUGAUUGAAAUACGGAUAUAUUUUGAUCGCAUAGAAAAUAUGAAUGAAUUUUGAAGCAUUUAUGGUAUUCUGAGGUACAGUUUUCCAGAGUUAUUUUACAAACAGUUGAAGUUUUGAUCUCUGGUUUUUACCCCGUCUUGGAAUAUCAUAAUUUGUACAACGUUGUAUUAUUCGAACAUUGUAUAUACCGUAGAUGUUGUAUGGUAACAAUUUUUGGUAUAUAUGUAUAUUUGUAAUUUGUUUAAAGUCUGCCGGAGAAAAAUAAAUUGAUUGCAAGUCUUGCUCAAAGCAACAAAAGUGUUUGUGUUAGUUAUGUUAAGACAUAACCAUAACAAAUUUAACAAUAUAAGUAUUAUUACACAUACUCUUACCUUUUAGAAGAUAUUUCUAAAAUGACUGCCUAUACUUUUGUAUUUAAAGUAGAUUUUAAAUGCCUAUACUUUAAUUAUUUGAGUGUUUAUUAAAUGCCAUUAUCUUUGUCUUUGAGUUGAUUUUAGUGCCUUGAGUAAUUUGAGAAGUUUUUUUAAUUCCUACAUGUAGCUAGUCCCAAUUUCAGUUAGCCAAAAUGCAUACUUUAAUUGAUACAUAAAAAAAUGAUUUAUUGUAAUUAACGAAUCCUUUAUAAAGUAUAACAAAUUAUUGAAAAACAUAGUGAGCUUAGCUUAGUCCUGUUAUAAGAGACUUAAAAAAGUUCGAGAAAUUUGGGCGAUCAUCACCAUGUUUGUAUUUUUAAUGCCUUUAUUUUUGUUGAGUAGUUUUUUAAGACCUCUAGUUUGACCUUUAAGUAUUUCUAGUAUUAACUUUUGACACCUGAUGUGUUGCAUAUUGUGUUGCAUUUUAUUGUUGUUGCCAUGGAAACGGUGUUUAUAUCAAUGAAAGUAUUGUGAUGGUAACAUUAUUAAUAGCAACUAACAUGAUAUUACUAGAUAUUUGUCGCCACUUAUGUUAUUUUGUGUAUUAUUAUUAUAUUUAUAAUAUGUAUUAUGUAUUAAUUAUUUAUAUACAACUACAAAAUAUAUUAAAACAUGUUUUCUUGAAUUAUUAUCUCUUAAAUCGCCAAGUGGGGCCUUCCAUAGGCAAGGUAUCCAUGUCCAAAAUCUUUGGACAAUUCUGGACUCUAUUGUAUAAGGCCUUAUGAUGCAUGUUGUCGGCAGGGUUAUCUUGGACUAGAGUAGUGUACAAAUUUGUCCACCCAGAUAUGUAUUUCGGGAAAUGUUAUUAUGUUACUAUUGACUGUUAUGUUU